UGGGGUUUGAGGGAAGCAAACAGCUCGGGGGGAGCGUUGCACUCCGUUUAGGGUUUUGCAGUGGUGGUUGGUGAGGGUGGGGGUGAGAUCUGGAGGAGGAGCAGCAGAGCCAGGCUGGUGGCACUGAGGAGAAAGGGGAGCACAGGUGGACCCUCUGACCCCCAGGGAUGGUUCUGAGGUUGGUUUGGGGCUCAGCAGAGCUAGAGGGUCUGCCCAGUCUGGGGGUGACCCCAUGUCCCCGUGUCCCAGUGUUGGAGCUGACAAAGGAGGGGGACGUGGGCUGACUCCCAAGUUCGGGGGAUCCAUUCUGUGCCCACCCAGAGCCCUUUAUGCCAACUCACCCUAUCCCAGCCCAUAGCAAGGGGCACUGGCUGAGCCUGAUUUGGGACAGAUCAACGGCGUGAGGGCUCCUCCGAGCCGUGCACACGUGCUUUGCCUUUCCCAAGGGUUGGGGGGUCACUGCGUUGUGCCUGUCCCCAUCUCCCCAGCCGUGGGUAGCCCAUGGCUCCUGCCCUCCUGUUUGCAGAAGUUUAAUAGGAUUAGCCAUCUUAGAAGCCCUUGUGUGCUAAAUCCCGUAACUACUGCUGGAACCGGAGCGCUGAGUGGGGAGAGGGGAAAAAACCCAUGCAGAGAACGUUAAACCGAUCCCGAUUGCGGUGCAAUGUCAGGUUAAACACCGCGCUGCUUGGAACGGCGUCGGAGCCGAAUUCACACGGAUUUUGACAUCACCCAUUGGUGACGGUACCCAUUUGAGGUUUCGGAGCAAUGCGUGUCUCAUUCACGGGGCUUCAGCAGCGCAGAGAAGGGAGGGAAGGUUGAAUAGAAGUUAUCAGGAUCGGGACGAAGUGAGAAGCCCAGACAAUGUUAUCAGAAAUUGUUUAUUUAUAAUUAAAGGAUAUGUAACGUACGACUUUAUCAUCUUCCAAGCGAUAGUAUCUUUUGUUUUCUUUCUAAUGGGGGAUUAGGGAGGAAUGAUGUGUGCCACGCAGACAAUGAGCGAUAGCGGGGAAACAGCCCCGUCUGCUUUAGGAGAGAACAAUAACGCGUUGUUGGGCUGUCGGGGUGGUUUCAAAGGUAACGGGAUUCAUCCCCAAAUUCCCUUCCUAUGCCGUCGUGGGCUGCGGAGUCUGAUUUACCAUGGGGUCCAAAGCCCUGCGUGCAAUGCAGCUUCGAUAUGAGGAAAGAUAAAGGUUGAAGCAGUCAGUGUGUGUGAAAGUGCCGACCUCGUGGAGAAAGCAUUAAAACGCAGAUCUUAAUUCCCAGAAAUCCGAAUUACGUCCUUCCUGUUUCUCCCCACUUCCACUGCCACCCUCUCGUUCUGAAAACAUACAGCACUGCAUCGAAUGGAUGUGGGCGCUGAGAUUUCCCCUCUAAGAUCAUCCUACAGCAAACCUGCAAGCUGGGGAGCUCGGCUUCCCUUCCCAAGCACUGGAAAGCCCCUGAAAAUAAUACAUAUAUAGUUUUCUCCCCAAAUACGUGUUGGUGGCUAUAGAAACUGAGUGCAGGAGUCCAACAAGAACAGAAUCCUGCGCUGCUUUUAUUACGUAUUCAUGCAAACAGCCCUCUGUCCAAGCGUGAGGCCAUCACUUAUCCUUUCUCUUGCAAUGCGAUUUCUGGGGACGAAUCCCCUCUAUUUCUUCUUGCUGUUUGCAUCAGCGAAGUGCGAACUCGCCCGUGGCACCCGGAGAAACCGCAGCAAUAACAAUAAACAGCGAUGCAUACAUUUACAAGGAGACGUUCCGUACCGGACUUGAUUUAUUUACUCUGUUUAAAACGGAGUUAAAACUCACGUGGCAGCAAAAAAAAAAAAACCGAUACGGCUGGAAGAGAUGGGAGCUGUGAUGCUGUCAGUGCACGUGUGUGUUUGUGCGCACAUCCACGAAGCAAAACGCGGCGUUGGUUUCAGCCGUGGCUUCACGUUGUGGGGUAACAACUUCUCACCUGGUUGAAAGAUACCUAUUUGUACGCUGUGAAAUGUGAGAUUUCAUGUCCCAUUGGCGGCGCAUUCGAUCAAAUCGGGGCUGAACGGGUCCGUAGGAAAUUAAAGGACGGAUUUAAAGUUAAAAAUCCUCUUGCGGUGCUUUCUGAGAGAGCUGCGCUGCUCGUUAAUACAUAGAGAUGUAAAUGACAGCGGUCGUGGGUAGAUGGGUCGAAUAAAUCACUAAACCCCAUCAUUUCGGUAACAGAGGAUCGAGAGGAGAGCGCAAACCGUGCGGGGAACUUCUUCCCUCUUUUCUCCGUUCCCAAUCCCUCUGUGCGGAUGAGCCCCGACCGUUCAUAGAGCUGCUCCCUGUUUUCCCCUCCGCCUUUCUUGGGGGGACUGCGGGGCCCCAAGGAGAGAAAGGAAACGUUCCGCGGGUGCGGAGCUCCGAGGUGCGGGGCUGCGCCCAACCGUGCGCUGCGUUUCCUCCUCUUUUCAGCCCUAUCCGGCUGAUAUCGGCGCUUUUAAUUUUAAUUUAUAUAUAUUUAAUUACUAGCUCGUCAAGCCUCAGCCACCCAAGCCUUUCUUUUUUUAUUCCGUGGUGCUUUUUUUGCUGCUCACCCCCCCCCCCAUCUUUGCACUCUUCUCACCCCAGAAGUAGUGGGGCUCAGGGCUGCCCCGACGGGACCUUCCACGCUGGGAUUCCUCUCCAUGCAAGUUGCUCCCACAGAUCAACCCCUUCCCGAGCAACGCACAAUGCAAAGCAAACCCCCCCCUCAACCGUAAACCAGUGUUGUCUUUGGAUAUUCGUAAUUUAUUUACGGUUAGCCCCAAAUUUAACAAAGAUGACAGAUUGCUGUUGAGGGGGGGGCAGGGUGGGGGGAAUGCGAUUCAAUUAAUUUGUAAUCUUACGUUUCAUUAGAAAAUGUAAGAAUAAUGAUGGCAUCCAGCAGGCUGGGGGGCGGGGGAGGCGAAAAAUCAUAAACGGAGAUUUCCCCUUCCCAAAUCAGAUUAUAAAAUAAGCUGUUUUAAAUUAAAUUAGUCGAUGCGCGCUUGAUCAGGGUAACCUCAGAUUACGAGCGAGGUAAAAGACAGCGUACAAACAAAUGGAACUAACGGAGGACGUGGAGUUGAGCCCUUCCCCCCUUUUUCGGUUGCGGCCCCCCCGGCGUUGGGGGACUGUGGGUGGGGGUCCAGGAAUGGGGCAGAACCGGGGGGCAACGCUGCGAAGUGCAGUGGGGGCCCGGCUUGCAACAGGCGACCCUGGAGUAAAUAUUCAUAGCUCUGCCCGUACAGAGAGCUCCGUGCUUCACUUGCGGGUGCCGAACAGUUUUCCCUCGGGCUGAAGCUCAAAACCUGCGGAAAAGGGGAACUUGGAGGGGAGAAACCCCCACAUGUUGUUCCCUCAUCCCCCCCAAGUCUGGGCAGUUGGGUUCCUUUUGCCGCAUUCCUGUUGGGGCUCUGCGUUCCUUUGCUGUUAUUUAUUUCAACAUACAUUGAGUUUUUUUCCCAUCUAUUAUUAUUAUUAUUGUUGUUGUUGUUGUUGUCGUUAUCGUUAUUAUUAAUUUCCCCCCCCCCCCCCCGCCCCAACGGAACGAUCCCCAUCGGUACCGCGCGGCUUUGCGCUCCCGUCCGACCGCCCCCGACGGGCAAAGUUGAGGGGAGGGGGAAUAUCCCAAACAGCCCCCGAUCCCCAAAUUCUCUCCCGGCCAAACUUCAGCUUCGUUUGCUGUCGUUUCUCCCUUCGUUUCUCCAUCUCAACCAAUUGAAAAAAGAAAACCUGAAAAUAAAACCGAGCACUACAACGAAACCAAUUGCUUUUGCUUCCCUCUAAAAAUCGUCCAAGUGGAAUUAUCGCCUCCAAAUGACAACGAGGGGGAAUUUGGUGGGAGGGUAGGGAGGGGGGGAACGCCGUGGUUUUCUGGGUCUGGCUCAGCUCCGUGCGGGGGGAAGUGUGAAAUCUCGGCUGCCGUGCGCUCACACAAAGCCGUUCUAUUCGCCGGGAUUUGUCGGGUCGAGGAGGAUCCCGUUAAAGCCCGUCGCUAAACGCGGUUCUCCCACCUCGUUCCUUCAUUCAGCAAACGAAAAAAAAAAAAAAGAGAGAGAGAGAGAAAAAAUAAAAACAUCGUCAAAAAAUCCCCACCAAACCUUUUCCUUUAUUUUAUUUUUUUUGCGCUCGGUGUGAAAAAGAAGUUGGAAAUAAUAAACAUAGGGAAAAAAGGGGUGAUUUGAGCAGCGUUGUUAUUGCUGCCACGAGAAGCGACGUGAGUUCAUUCCUCGAAGGGGCGGCAGACGAGAAAUAGUUGAGCCAAAAACGUCGGCGUUUAUUCCCCAAAAGAAAAUCUUCGGUUCUGUUUUACGUUGUAAUGUAAAAUGAGUGCGAGAAAACCACAAAAACUUAGGAAGGCUUUAAGGUCCGUAGGUGGUGGGAACUCAUUGAGCCCCAUUGUGUGGCAUCAUUGGGGUUUUUCCUAUUAUUCUUAGGAAUUCGGACUCUUUAUUGUGAACGAAAUGUUUUCUUAGCGCCCCUUUAUUCCCCUGGGAAGCAAACAAGCAAACAAACUAAACAAGCCCUAUAAAAAUAAGUUCAGCCUUUUUGGGUGACAUCCCAGGUGUGAGGCUGAUGAGAGUUUCUAAACUUGGGUUAAUCGCACUCAGAAUGGGUUGGGAGCGAAAAGCGCUCCUCCGGUUUAUAGGAUCCAUAAGGAAAUCAGGGACGACAGCGGUGGAAACGUUCGCGAUUAAAGCGGAAGGACAAUAAGUGAGAGCUUCUGCCACUCUCUUUGGGACAAAGGUGGAGACCUUCACAUCGGCUCUGCUCCUCGGGUGCCAACAUGGGGCCGCUUUGCAGCCGGACCCCCACAGCAAGAUGCAGCAAGAUGCAACCCUAAUGCGGCCACAACCAUGGGCCACACCGGUCUUAGGGCAGCCGUGACAACCUCCUAACACCCUUGCCAAGGCCUCGGCAGCACCCGCAGGCCUUGGCUGAUGGAGGAACGACAAGGAAGAGGAAGCCGGAGGACUGAGCGCGGGCACCGCCGCUCUUCCAGGGCCUCCACAAAAUGGCGGCGGGGCUCCCAAAUGGCGGCGGGGCCCGGCGGGGGGAAAAAAGCGCCGGCUCAGUGCCAGGGCCGCCGUGCAGGGCACAAUGAGUGGCACAUAACGGCCCCUCGCCGCGGCCGCUGCUCCGCGUGGUGCCAGCUGGAGCCCCCUCCCUCCGCCUUGGCACGGGCAGGCGCCCGGCGAUGGCCGCCUCAGAGGAGGAGGAGGAGGAGGAUUAAGGCCGCAGUUGUGUCUCCCCUCUUUCUUUCCCCCUCAGUGGCUGAGAACAGGAAACACGAACCUAUCUGAGACUAAUUGACUUGCAAAUUAAUCGUUUGUCCCUGUGCCUGAUAAUUAGUGCUAACGAUUUUUACACCCCCCCCCCCCUUUUUUUUUUUUUUUUUUUUUUUUUGCGCUCUCCUCCUCUUUAUUUUACAGGAGGCCCUUCUCCCUUUCUUCUUCUUCCCUUUCUCCUUUGCCAUCCCCCCAAGCCUCUGUUCUUCCCCAAGCCCCCCUCCCAGCUGGCCCCCGCCGUGGGGUGGGGACGGCUGUGGGUUUGGGGGCACCCAUAGCUGCUGGUUGGCUUCCCACGCCUCGGUGCCAGCCCCACAUCUGCCCACCGGAGACAAUGAGCGGGGGGCUACGAUGGGGGCUGGAGCUUUGCAAUGGGCUGAGAUGGGCAGUGGGGUUGCCAGGGAUGUGGCAUCGGUUGGGGCUGCAAGCAGCUCACGUUCCCAAACGUUCCCAAAUAUCCAGGAAACGGGUAGAAAAGAAUACAGAGAAUUGUAUGAGGUCACAAGGUGGGCAGCAGUGUUUGGAUUUCUUGGCAGGGCUUUUUUCCAAAGCACCAUCUGAGAGCAAGGUGCUGCAGGGGUAUGGAAGGGAUAAAGAGAGCAAAGCAGCUCUCUUGAGGCCAUUUCCAUGGACCACGAUAGCAUCUCAUGCCUGAGCCUGGGAACAGCAACUGCUGGGGCUGCAGGGAGAGAUGUGCUCAGGGUCCAGGCUGGAUGUGGCUCUGAGCAGCCUGGUUUGGUGGUUGGCAGCCCUGUACAUAGCAGGGGAGUUGAAACUCGAUGAUCAUUGUGGUCCUUUUCAACCCAGGCCAUUCUACGAUUCCUUGGUGGUGUUUCAAUACAGAAGCAGUUUUGCUGGAGCCAACCCUUCUAAUGCCACGUUCCACUUCUUUUAUUCUUUUAUGUCCUUUUGGGGCGGGGGGGUUGGGAAAGGUAAGCUCCCUUUUUCCCUAUGCUGGAUGGGGUUUGCAUGCUCACCUCCAUCCCUGAGGCACAUCUUCCUCUGCUGCCCCACCGUAGAUAAUUAAAUGGAUCCUUUUCCAUGUAGCUUGCCUCCCCGGGUGCGUCUGGUGCCUGACACGAUUUGUCAGCUGUAUCUCUGCUGUAAUCCCAUUUUUGCCCCCUCUCCCUGCCCUGCUUUGUGUUCAGGACUCCCUUCCCUCUUGUCUCACAGUUCCUGAUGCUCAGCUCUUCCUUCCCAGGGAGCCUGCAGUCCAUCAGCCCUGCUCUUAAACUUGGUGCUCAUGAACUUGGCGUGUUUGGUUUGAUCAGAGUUAAUUGCACACAAGCUCCAGCCGUCUGCAAACAGGGGUUCUUUGUUCCUGCAAGAAUCGCCUGCCCCAUAGGGUCACAGUGGCCACGACCUGCUGUCCCCAAGGGUCACUCUGCCAGCAUGCACUGUCAAUUCAAUCCGGGCACCGUAGCAGAGGGUGGGAUGCUGCAGGUUGCUGCAGCAUGAAGGCCAAAACAGGGAGAGGUGCAGCCAGUCAGCACCAUCCCAGUAGGCAACGGAGGCUUUGGGGUCAGGUGCAUUGAAAUAACGCAAUGAGCAAUGGUCAUUGAGCUUUAUGGAUGGGGAGAGAGGGUGACAGCGGUGUUCAAGGUGGAUUAACUCCUACCAGACUUAUACAGGAGGUCUCCCAGAUUAAGUUCAGUGGUUUGUGAAGGAUCCCUUUCUGCUUUGCCAGAGCAGCUCUGCAGCCCGUGACCAUGAAUCUGGUCGGCACACUCCUGCUCACCAGGCUCAGCCCCUCUUAAUUAACCCCCUGUGUCCUUAGAGACCUGAACCCCCACAUCCCUCUUUCCUGUGGGGCUUUCCAAGCUGCUCAGAGGCAUCCAUUGAAUUCUUAUUGGGUUUAUGUGUUCCCUCCACCAGGUUUCAUGGUGUGGUCCCAUGCUAGCACGAUGGGGGCCAUCGCUGCAAAGCCACAGCAGCAGAAGCCCAGAGGGAUGAGACAAAUCACUUUGCUGUCCUGGAGUACCUGGCAGCGGGUGCUGAAAAGAACCAGUUCCACCAGCACUGAGAUUGACGGAGGGCUGGAGGCACUGAGGGGUUGGGGGGCCAGAAAAGCCCUCCGACCUUCCUCACCCAGCCACGUCCUCCUCUGCUGCUGCUGGGGAAGGAAACCUCUAGCAGGUUUCCAUUUGACUGAGCUCAAGGGAUGAGUUAGGGCUCGUUUCGGAGGGGCCAGGGGAUGGUGGCUGGAGGCAGCAGAGGGCACGAGGCCCUUGGGAGCAUUUCCUCAGGCAGGUGGGAACGGUCCCAGAAGGGUAGAGGCGGGCGAGACACUGCCUUCAGGCGCUUUCCCAAUCCCUCACACCUGGUACUCCGUCAAUGCAACCACUUGGCUAAAUGUGGGUCAUUGUAGGAGGGUGCAGCCACUCGAGCAAACAAGCCUCAAUUGCCCACUGAUUGGGGUGUCUGAGAGCACCGUCACUGAAAUUUCUGAGGGGGGAGGCAUUAAUAAUCCCCAUUCUGUCUCCGCAGCCCUUGCCCCCUUGUUAUUUCCCUCUUUGUGUCUUAAUUUGGCCCAUUAUUAUUAUUUUAUAAAAGGGCCCUUUCUCCACCCCCUCCCUCUUGAAGACACUCCUUAGACCGAUGGGAAAAUGGCAAGGAAUAAUUAUGAAAAACAUCAGUGGAGAGAGGGCCAUCUGAGAGGGAUUAAAGGAUUACAAUUAAAACUCAUUUUAGGGAGGUGGUGUGACAUUAGCGUUUCCAUUCUUCCCCCCCCCCACCCCCCUUCCCCAAACACCCUCUGGGCUAUCUGGGUCUAAGUUGAUUAAAUGACAAACUCCAGCUCGGAGGGAAACAACAACAAAUUAAAAAUAGAGUAAAAUGGGAGGGGGGAAAAAGGAAAAAAAAAAAACAAAAAACAAAAAUCCCAAAAAUGAUUUGCAAAAUUGAGGUCACUGGGAAUUACUGCAAGUUCUAGCAGCAGCUGGAAGCAGGGUGGACAAAGCACCUGCUGCUAAUAGCAGGUUGCUGGUGAUGGAAUCAUCUCCCCUCCGCCUGGUCCUGCACAGGGGAAGGUCUGCUUGCAGCACACUGCUCUGCAGCAUCAGUGCCAACCUUGCAGUUGUCCACGCUCUGCUCCACGGUCCCACAUCACCAGAGAGAGGAUGGAGUGCAGACCUCGUGCCCACAGCCCUCGUGUCCCUCAGCCCAGGUUUGCAGCAGGGCUGCAAGGUGCAAUGCAAGCAUGCAAAAUGCAGCCGGAGCCACGGAGCCCGUGUUGCUACUGCUGUGCAUCCCCUCCUGUCACGGCUGCGUGGCACACUGUGCUCUGUUCUCACUGAUCGGGUUUGCAUUUGGCAGCUGCUACCCCUGCUUGGCUCGUGAGGGCUUCGUGGUGGCUCGAUUUCAACAAGUAAAAUGAAUUAUGGGAUGCUUGCCUGCCACCGAGGCUGGUGGUUAUGGAGUUUGUAAUGGAGGAUUUCCCUUUAUAAAACAAAAACGCCUAUAAAGCAUGUGAUUCUGAUGACACGAGCACCUCAACCUGUGCUGGCAGCCUUGUUUGAAAGGGAGAUAUGGGCUGAUGGGAGGCAGACAUCCAACACCAGCUCUGUGUCUGGGGUGUUCUGUAGGUGGGAGCUUCGAGCGCAAAGGCUCUGACCUGCAAGCACAGAUCUCACCAUAUAAACCAAACCACGUGCAAGCACAUGGGCUGGGGAUCCUUUCCCCUGACCUAUGCCUUUCAUUGACAUUGGGAGCACAGAGCAGAGCACCCCCUGCACCCCCUGCUCUGGGUUGGACCCGCUGCUUCUCUCCUUGGCAUAGCAGGGCACCAUCACGUGGCUGCACACGUGGGCACAGCGCUGUCAUGUGAGGUGCCACAUCGUUGUCUCAUAUUGUGAGGCUGCAAAAAGCUGAACGGAAGGGAAACUCCCCCCCCCCCCCCCCCCCCACACACACACACACUCCGAUCCGGCCUAUUUUCUUUCCUCUCCUUUUGUUUCUGGUUUCCGGAACUAUGCAGCAAAGCAAAGCAUGGGGAGAAGAAAGAAGCUGAAGAGAGCUGGCAUCUGGCAGGGAAAAGAGCAAAAUAGCAGAGCAGGGCUUUGGGCAGAGGUGCAAGGUACCCCCCUCCCCAAGCAGGGGCUGCCUGGGACCUGGGUGAGCCCUAGAAAAAUCAAUCUGAACACAGGAUGGGCUCCAUAAGGGACUCCAGGGGGAGCCAAGCCUUGAAUUUAGGGGCUGAGUAGGCAUCCCUCUGCAGCCCUUGUCCCUCACCCCCUCCUGCAUGCUGCACUCAGCAUUGGCAGCCUCGUGCUGCAUCCUUUGCAAAGCAGAGGGGGGACGAGUUGGGGACCAUCCUUCUGCAGCACUGUGUGUGCUCCCGUGCUGUCCCUUUGCAGGCAGGGUGAGAUGCCAGAAUAUAUUUGAUUCAUGUUUAUUUAUUUUUUUUUCCCCCAUCCCGGUCAGUGCAGAGGGGUCUUUGCAUACAGUCCCAAAUGAAGAUAAUGUUAAUUAGGUCAAUUAAUUAGGACCGAGAUGCACUGUUUUCCCCCAGAGUAGAAAAUACAGUAAACUCCAUUUUUUAUGAGCUGUUUAUUCAGCCCGGGAGGUCGCAGCAGAAUAGCAGUGUCAAAGGAGCUGCCAUUGCCAAGGUCCUCGUGUCCCCUCCGCGCCGCCCCAGAAAGGGAACAAAACUCUGUUGACAGCAAAGUCCCAGCAGGAGCCCUGAGCUGAGGGGCACAGAGCAGCGAAGCGGAAAGGGUGCCAGCUUCCCGAGCACCAGGAGGGAACAGGCUGCAGUCCCCAGCAUUUCAAUGGGCCGGGGGGAAGCAAUCAGGCCUUUCAAGGGUUGUUCUCAUCAGCGCAGAGGGGACAAUGUGCUGCUGGCAGCGGGACAGGGCGCAGGGGACAAAGGGCUGCCCGUGGUUGGACACAGCUCUGUCCCAUCUCAGGGUGCUCCCAGACCCCUGGGCCAGGGGCAGACCCGCGUGGCUCUCCUUCUGUUUUAUGUUAUCCUUUGGGAUGCACGUGAUGUACACCUCCACCAGCAAGCAGAGGGUGACAGCCUGCCGACCGUUGCUGACUGAGCCUCUCUCUUGCAUUGCUUUCCACUCACUGCACCCCAGAAGCCCGCAGUCGGCAGAGCUCAGCCCAUGCCCAGUCUCCCAGCUGCACCGUAGCUCUGCCCAGACCCUUGCAAUGGGAUCGGAGGGUUUAGGAUUCUGCUGCCAUUGUGGGGUUUUUUGCACCUGGAUGUGCUCAAUGCAUACCCUGCAGCUCUUCACCAGCGUUGCCCACAGCUCCAUCUCCCGUCAGCAUCGCCCUGCUUGCUUGCAGGGCAGUGCAUCCUGGGAAUUUCCUUCCCCAGAAUGCCUUCACCCCAACCCGAUGGUGCACACAACCAUCACACUGACCCCCCCCUCCUGCUGCUGACCAGAGCGAGGAUGAAAGCAGCUCUUUUCUUUUUUUUCCCCUCUCUUUCAUUCAUUCAUUCAUUCAUUCAUUCUUUCUUUCUUUCUUUCUUUCUCUCUUUCUUUCUUUUUAAUGGCGUUUCAUUAGCCUCCAAAUCAGACAGGCUAAACAAUGGCGUUCUGUCAGCGAUGGGCUUUCGUGCUGAUUUCAUCUCCUCUCUCAUCCGUAUGCAAACCAGGCUCCAGCAGGCUUUGGCCAUGCCAUGGAAACCGAGGUGCAGGCCCGGAAUGGGGGUUCUCAGAGUGAGAAAUCUCCUGUUCGCUUUUUCCCAUUUGCAUAAUGCAACUUUUCUUCCUGCAGACACUGAGGCGCUUUUGUUUAUAGAGAGCUGAGGGAAAGGGGG
rnacentral:lncRNA from 1 species